rnacentral:rRNA from 1 species
AGAGUUUGAUCAUGGCUCAGGAUGAACGCUAGCUACAGGCUUAACACAUGCAAGUCGAGGGGAAACGACAUCGAAAGCUUGCUUUUGAUGGGCGUCGACCGGCGCACGGGUGAGUAACGCGUAUCCAACCUGCCCACCACUUGGGGAUAACCUUGCGAAAGUAAGACUAAUACCCAAUGAUAUCUCUAGAAGACAUCUGAAAGAGAUUAAAGAUUUAUCGGUGAUGGAUGGGGAUGCGUCUGAUUAGCGUUGUUGGCGGGGUAACGGCCACCAAGGCUACGAUCAGUAGGGGUUCUGAGAGGAAGGUCCCCCANAUUGGAACUGGACGACACGGUCCAAACGUCCUACGGGAGGCA